rnacentral:rRNA from 1 species
GACGAACGCUGGCGGCGUGCUUAACACAUGCAAGUCGAACGGAAAGGCCCUGCUUUUGUGGGGUGCUCGAGUGGCGAACGGGUGAGUAACACGUGAGUAACCUGCCCUUGACUUUGGGAUAACUUCAGGAAACUGGGGCUAAUACCGGCUAGGAGCUCCUGCUGCAUGGUGGGGGUUGGAAAGUUUCGGCGGUUGGGGAUGGACUCGCGGCUUAGCAGCUUGUUGGUGGGGUAGUGGCUUACCAAGGCUUUGACGGGUAGCCGGCAUGAGAGGGUGAACGGGCACAUUGGGACUGAGAUACGGCCCAGACUCCUACGGGAGGCAGCAGGGGGGAAUAUUGCACAAUGGGCGGAAGCCUGAUGCAGCAACGCCGCGUGCGGGAUGACGGCCUUCGGGUUGUAAACCGCUUUCGCCUGUGACGAAGCGUGAGUGACGGUAAUGGGUAAAGAAGCACCGGCUAACUACGUG